rnacentral:rRNA from 1 species
AAGUCGUAACAAGGUAACCGUAGGUGAACCUGCGGUUGGAUCAUUAGAAAAUUUGAAGCUCUGCUUCAGAAACACUGUGUGCACCGUUAUCUGUCUCUGGCAGGACCAGGGAAGCAGCAAUGCUAACCCCCUGCCAAAGGAGUGGGGACUCCCCUCGUGGGAGACCUCGCUCCUGUUGAUGAACACUUUGUCUGUUUUUAUUCUGUCUGAAACUUUUCUUCACCUUGUGUGAGAAAUUGAAAACAACUUUUGGCAACGGAUCUCUUGGCUCUCGCAACGAUGAAGAACGCAGCGAAUUGCGAUAAGUAAUGUGAAUUGCAGAAUUCAGUGAAUCAUCGAAUCUUUGAACGCACAUUGCGCUCCCGGGUAUUCCUGGGAGCAUGCCCGUUUGAGAAUCAGUGAAAACCUCAACACCCUGUGUGUUUUUCCUUGUGGAAGCACAGAGGGUCUGUUGGAAUUGGAUCUUUUGCGAUGAAGCAGUGCGGGUGUAUGACUGUUGAUGAAAGGGGAAACGCUUCGGUGCCUUUGUCAAUGGUCAUCAAGGGGAACUCGCAUCGGGACUGCUUGACUGCAAUGAUCUUAAAUUGAAUGUCCNCUGUUCCUUCCUAAGUAGGUGCAUUGGCCGAGUGCUUGAAUGUUGUCUCACGACUCUUUCCUCGCUCGGUGCCUGCGGUUACUGACGAUGUGAUGCUGGUGCGAACUCAAAACUGAUUUGUAAGAGUAGCUGUCGGAAGCCCUUCACGGGGCGGAAGCUCUUCUCUCAACUUGGUCUCAAAUCGGGUAGGAGAACCCGCUGAACUUA